AGGACGAACGCUAGCGGCGUGCUUAACACAUGCAAGUCGAACGGUGAAGGAGAGCUUGCUCUCCGGAUCAGUGGCGAACGGGUGAGUAACACGUGAGUAACCUGCCCUUGACUCUGGGGAUAAGCGUUGGAAACGACGUCUAAUACCGGAUACGAGCUUCAGCCGCAUGGCUAGGAGCUAGGAAAGUAAUUUCGGACAAGGAUGGACUCGCGGCCUAUCAGUCUAGGUUGGUGAGGUAAUGGCUACACCAAGGCUAUGACGGUUAGCUGGUCUGAGAGAUGAUCAGCCACACGUGGAACUGGAGAC
rnacentral:rRNA from 1 species